CUUGUCGCUCUGCUUCUCUCUCCUCAGUUGUCUGCCUUCUGCGUUUAAAUAUGGUACGUUAAGGAAAUUACGAAUCGAAAUUAAAAUAUUGAUAUCGUUUGAGCUAGAAUAGCAAGCGUAGUAAUCGCGCCAAUCAAAUAUUACUCCUCGGGAUGUCCGAUCACACGCUUCACGCGCCGAUCACGCCGUGAAAUUACAAUUCACGGGCACAGCAGGCCGACCAAACGAACGAAAAGAAUUGAGAGCGAGAGGUCGGCGUUUAUCUUUUGCAGAGAUGACUGAUAAUGCCGCCAGGGUGUGAGGCGAGGAAAAAGGGUUAAAGCAAAGCGGGAAUACAGGUCGAUCGAAACAGUUCUUCGUUGCGAAUUGGACGUCAAUUAAACCGAAGAGUUAUUGAGCUAGUGGUCGACGUAAAUUGAGGCCUCCCAUCAGCACACUGAAGAUGGCCAAUUGAGAUAAGCCGGAUCGUUAGAGGUUCUUUAGAUGCGUUCACUACGCUGAUUGCAGCUUAACUGAGCGUGAAGAUAAAAGGCUUGAUGGGCGGAAAGGUAAAUCCACGCACGAUGCGUAUUGUAGUUCCUAUAUGAGCAAUCUUUGCUUGAGUUUCUAAGAAUGGCAAAGCUUUGUUUGGCCCUCCACGGUCGCCGUGUAGUAAGAAAACGAGCACCAAUGAAACAAAGAGACACGUUUGGUUAUAUUGAAAGUAAACGUUGGCAUGAAGGGCUUAUACAAACUGACGCGUUUCACUUAUUUAGGGGUUUUGUAUAUUCCUAAGCUGCGGGCAUUUGCGUGUAUAGAGAGUCACCCAAAAAUAACAAACCAGCACCAAGCACCUGCACCAACGCACGGCACACACGGUCAGAGUCGUAUCCAUCCUCACCUUUCUCGAUGCGAGGGUUUUGGAAUGAGAUAGGAAUCUGGCCGGGCUUCAAACCUCGGUGGGGUCUGGGCAACAGAACCAGGCUGUGGACCACCCAGCUGUCGACUUACAUGGGACUCGGUGUUUACAAGUGGAUCUAGUUCAAUGAUGCAGAUCAGGGUAUCGGUUUCAAGGGCCGCAACACCCGACGUUAGAAUAUACAGACUAUACCAAGAAUGCAACAACGCUUCGUCUGAGCUCGCCUUCGUAAACACACGGACUUUAUCGAUCAGCAAAAGUACCAAGCUGAUCUUCCGUUUAUAUCAAUUUAAUACCACCGCGCGAGGAUUAAAAUUUCUGCUACUAUGAACUUUUGGUGAAAUGCCAGUUCGUUACCGCGAAAAAUAUUGUUUCGUAUUUUUGAAAGUAUAGCUUUACAGUUGUAAAAGCGAAAUAAUUUUAUCCAGUACGAUUUGUUUCGUAAAAUUCUAUUUUAAAAUAUUUUUAGAAAAUAACCAGUUAAUAAACCGUUUACUUGUAUUUAACAAACACGAAUCUAGCAAUAUUAAGAUACGCAAAUAAAGAAGUUGUUUACUGUCA